rnacentral:lncRNA from 1 species
GAAAGUAAUGGUUAUUUGGCUUGCCGGGUAUUGAUAGGCUGACAAAAAACUGCAUGUUUCACCAACCCCAAGCUGAUAACCAUGUACAGUAAAGUGUUGAGACUCCCUCCUGCUAUAAUACAGAAGCCACAUGCACCAGACUGCCCUUGGUGAAAGCCAAACCAAAAAACGCUCAAUUUCAGUGCAACAUCGUGUUCAGGCAUGGUGAGAGAAGUAGGUGGUUCCCCCCGAGAAGAUUGAUGGAGUUGACAUACUCCCACCCCCUCACAGGACAACUUAAAGCUUGCAACGCUGUAGCCAAGGAUUGCAGUGGUUUCCUAGACCUCCUUAGAUGAGGGUAACCUCAAGAGCACAGGGAUGAUGGUGACAGCCUUGAUGCCUGAGGGCAGUGAACAGUUGCCUGAACAGUUGUCCAAGACAGAUGUUAAAGAUACCCAUGAGGACAUCAGUCAUUUUGGCCUUACAUUUCUUUAGCUAAACCUGAAAGCUAAGCUACUACUGAGUAGGGACAUCUGCAAUUAGCCAAAGCCUCUAGAUUGGUGAAGCAUUACUGAGAUUGCGAGUAGAGGUUAAGGCUCAGGCCUGGUAACAGGAAGGUUACUGGUUUGAGUCCUAUUACAAGUGCGCCAUGAGUCAUCACAAUUGUGCCCUUGAACAAGACACUUAACCCCAAGUUGCUCCAGAGGGACUGUCUCUGUAAUAUGUUGUGCUAUUUUAUGGUCACAGAACAUGACAGUAAUGGAAAUAAAUUCCACUGCUCCUGGUUUUGCA